rnacentral:rRNA from 1 species
GUUUGACGCAGAGAGCGUCAAAUAGGAAAUUCCAAGCCGCCUAGCCCAGCGCAGCGACUUCUGGAGUCCUCCAGCCAGCGCACGUGCCGUGCACGAAAAAAUGGCCGAGGAGGGUAGGCACAUCGCCGCCGGUGACCCCAUCCGGCCGCCGCGGCUGGAGGAUGCCGGCCUGGAGGACUGCGCGCUCCCGCCGGAAUCCAUCGCCGAGGCUUUCUCCCUUGCGGCGUUGGCCGUCUCCUCCUGCCUCCCCAACCUCUUCCUCUCCGACGACGAGGACGAGGACGAGGGAGGUGACCCGCUCGCGCCUCGUGGAGGCUGCGUGGAGGACGCGGGACCCACCCGCGGGGCCAUUCCCGACGCCCUUGUUGGCGCAGGGGGCGGCAGCGAGGGCGGCGCCGACGAGGUCGUGGUCGUCGGCGGCGGUGGCGGAGGAGGCGGCGACGAGGUGGUAGUCGUCGGGCGCGGAGACGAGGAAGAUAGGGUUGUUGUGGUCGGAGAAGAGCUGGGGCAGGAGAAGCGUUGCGGCAAGGGAACCAGAGAAGGAGAGCGCCGGAAGGAGGAGGAGGAGGAGAUGGUGGAGAAGGCCAUCUUGCUGGAAGAUUUUGCGUGAGCUUUGUGAGCUUUUCCUUUAGCCUGAUAAGAUAUUUCCCUUCCUUGUUUGUUUGACUUGUAAUGUAGUGAAUCUCCCUAUGAGGAAGGCAAGAGUGAAUUUAUCUCAGAUGUAGUGUUUAAUUUUAAGAUCAUUACUAAUGUGGUGUUUGAUAUUAAGAUCAGAUGACAGUAUGUUAGUCUCCAAUGGCAAGCUACUUAGC